AUAAUUGCAAUGACGGGAAUAGUAAGCAACCCCGCGGCGUGCAUAGAGAGUGAAUCCCACCGGCUGAAAGGAUUCACCGCCUGCCUUUGCCGAACCUGCCCCCGAGCUUUCAGCGCCCAAACGCUGAACGGUCUUCCUCCGUUAUAAGGGAAUGGAGCCGGACAGAAGCUUUUUCUGUCAACAAAGGUGGUACCGCGGAAGUACAGACUUUCGUCCUUUUG
rnacentral:ncRNA from 1 species